AACGAACGCUGGCGGCAGGCCUAACACAUGCAAGUCGAGCGGGGGAGCAAUCCCUAGCGGCGGACGGGUGAGUAACGCGUGGGAACGUACCCUUUGCUUCGGAAUAGCCCCGGGAAACUGGGAGUAAUACCGGAUGUGCCCUACGGGGGAAAGAAUUUCGGCAAAGGAUCGGCCCGCGUUGGAUUAGGUAGUUGGUGGGGUAAUGGCCUACCAAGCCGACGAUCCAUAGCUGGUUUGAGAGGAUGAUCAGCCACACUGGGACUGAGACACGGCCCAGACUCCUACGGGAGGCAGCAGUGGGGAAUCUUAGACAAUGGGCGCAAGCCUGAUCUAGCCAUGCCGCGUGAGCGAUGAAGGCCUUAGGGUUGUAAAGCUCUUUCGUGGGGGAAGAUAAUGACGGUACCCCCAAGAAGAAGCCCCGGCUAACUUCGUGCCAGCAGCCGCGU
rnacentral:rRNA from 1 species